rnacentral:lncRNA from 1 species
CAUGAACUGAAAUCCAUAGAUCAAUCACCGAAAAGGUCUAACCUUGGGUAACAAAAUCAAUAUUAGGCAUGUUUGAAAGAAAAAAUAAAAAAAUCAGUAAGAUGAGAGAGAGAGAGAGAGAGAGAGAGAGAGAGAGAGAGAAAGUGAAAAGAAGAAAGAAAAGAAAAAACAAAGAUCUGACUAAAUAGUGAGGAGAAAAGAAUCAAAGAAAAGAGAGAAAAAAGAAAGAAAAAACGUAACAGAUGGAGGAAGAGAGAAGAUAGAGCGGCUGUGCAAGUAGGUUGUGCAAUAGGAGUAAUGAAAUUUCAAUUUUAGGGUUAUAGUUUUUAUUUGAGCUUUUGGGUCAACAAAACUAGGUAAAUUAAUAGCCC